rfam:Triticum aestivum genome assembly, contig: Triticum_aestivum_CS42_TGACv1_scaffold_434666_5DL
GACCUAUUCCCUCCAUCCGAAAAUACUUGUCGGAGAAAUCAAUGUAUUUAUACGUAUUUUAGUUCUAAAUACAUUCAUUCUUUUCAUUUCUCCAUCAAGUAUUUCCGGACAGAGGGAGUAUCUA